UAUUAUAUUUCCUCUACCUGAAAUAUGCCUUCAAAUUGUGUGGUUCCUUGUUGCCCACUUGUAAAAUAUCUGAUCGAAAGCUCAAUCAUAAUAAAAUAAGAGCUUCUUUGCAUAAAGUUCCAACAUCAAGCAUGAAAAUUCUUAAUAAAUGGAAAUCGGCUAUACUAAUAAAUUAGAUACCUGAUGGAAAAUCCGUUGUUAUCCCUAAAAAAGAUGUAUUUCUCUUUAUUUUCAACACGGAGAUUUCGAAACAGAAACUAAAUGAAAAAAUGAAGAACUAAAAAGAAGUAUCUUAAGAUAAAGUGCUAUGCCAUCUUUAAGGAUUAAAAAAAAGUAACUAUAAAACAAAGGAACAGUAUAAUAUCCAUGGCUGAGAAUAUGAUAUUUCAAAUUUGUCGGAGCUUCAAUAAAACUUAGAUAUCAUGAGUGUGCCUACAAAAAUGAUAAUAGAUUGAAUGGAAGAUGAAGUUCAAUUUCUAUACAUAACCAAAUAAGAUUAAGGUUGUCCAGUUAUUGGAUUUAGCAUAAUAAUUGAAAAAGACUUGAAAUAUUAAAUGUGAAGUACUGCAAAUAAAAUUUUAAUCAAUGAAAUAAGUCAUAGGUUGUUGCAGAGCGAAUAAAUACAUAUUGGCAAAUUUAAAAUUUACUUGCUUUUUUGAAGACUAAGUAAAAAGAUGUUAUUGAACAAGAUACAAUUAUUAGAAUAAACAGACAGCUUCAAUCAAA
rnacentral:lncRNA from 1 species